rnacentral:rRNA from 1 species
AUUGAACGCUGGCGGCAGGCCUAACACAUGCAAGUCGAACGAGUGGCGGACGGGUGAGUAAUGUCUGGGAACCUGCCCGGUGGAGGGGGAUAACUACUGGAAACGGUAGCUAAUACCGCAUACCAUCGGAUGUGCCCAGAUGGGAUUAGCUAGUGGGUGGGGUAACGGCUCACCUAGGCGACGAUCCCUAGCUGGUCUGAGAGGAUGACCAGCCACACUGGAACUGAGACACGGUCCAGACUCCUACGGGAGGCAGCAGUGGGGAAUAUUGCACAAUGGGCGAAAGCCUGAUGCAGCCAUGCCGCGUGUAUGAAGAAGGCCUUCGGGUUGUAAAGUACUUUCAGCGAGGAGGCGUUACUCGCAGAAUAAGCACCGGCUAACUCCGUGCCAGCAGCCGCGGUAAUUC